GAAGUUGGAUUCGCUAGUAAUCGCGCAUCAGCCAUGGCGCGGUGAAUACGUUCCCGGGCCUUGUACACACCGCCCGUCAAGCCAUGGGAGCCGGGGGUGCCUGAAGUUCGUGACCGCAAGGAGCGACCUAGGGCAAAACUGGUGACUGGGGCUAAGUCGUAACAAGGUAUC
rnacentral:rRNA from 1 species